AGACCGGUUUACUGGUCGUGCCACUGGUAUGAACUGGUCUCGCUGAUCCCUCCCUCUUGACGAACUGUGAUGCCAUUAAUUUGGUGUCGCAGGGAAUCAGGACUGUUACUUUGAAAAAUUAGAGUGUUUAAAGCAGGCUUACGCUUGAAUACAUUAGCAUGGAAUAAUGAAAUAGGACGUUUGAUCCUAUUUUGUUGGUUUCUAGGAUUGACGUAAUGAUUAAUA
rnacentral:rRNA from 1 species